rnacentral:rRNA from 1 species
UACGUAGGGUGCGAGCGUUAAUCGGAAUUACUGGGCGUAAAGCGUGCGCAGGCGGCUUUGCAAGACAGAUGUGAAAUCCCCGGGCUUAACCUGGGAACUGCAUUUGUGACUGCAUGGCUAGAGUGCGGCAGAGGGGGAUGGAAUUCCGCGUGUAGCAGUGAAAUGCGUAGAUAUGCGGAGGAACACCGAUGGCGAAGGCAAUCCCCUGGACCUGCACUGGCGCUCAUGCACGAAAGCGUGGGGAGCAAACAGG